GAAUUAUCUAGUGAAGAAUCAGAAUAUGAAAGCACUGAUGAUGAGGACCGACAGAGAUGAACAAAUUAAUGGAACUAGCAAAUCUUCAGCCCAAAAGACCUAAAACAAUAAAGCAGCGCCAUGUGAGAAAAAAGAGAAAAAUAAAGGAUAUGUUGAAUACACCUUUGUGUCCUUCACACAGAGUUUACAUCCAGUGCUGUUACCUUCAGAUGUAUUUGACCAACCACAACCUGUAGGUAACAAAAGAAUUGAAUUCCAUAUAUCUACCGACAUGCCAGCUGCAUUUAAGAAAGAUUUAGAAAAGGAACAAAAUUGUGAGGAAAAAAAUCAUGUUUACCUGCUACUGAAGUUGAUGCAUCCAAUAUAGGAUUUGGAAAAAUCUUCCCCAAACCUAAUUUGGACAUCACAGAGGAGAUUAAAGAAGACUCUGAUGAAAUGCCUUCAGAAUGUAUUUCUAGAAGGGAAUUGGAAAAG
rnacentral:lncRNA from 1 species